UGCCCAGCAACUCCUAUCCCUACCUCCUCGCGGUACUGGCCGGGGUACGGUAACCCACCUCGGUGGGAGCUUUGGUCGUAUGCUGGCAGGGACAGG
rnacentral:ribozyme from 1 species